CUGGCUGUGUCACAGAAUCCAAUCAAUUUGACUGUCUGCCGAGACAAUUCUCAGGGUACCAGACAAUCCAAAGAAUGGAGUAUCAAUUUGUUGGUCCAGAUCAAAUGAUCAUAACCACCAAACCAAGGCAGAAAACUAUAACAUACAUUUCACAUGCAGCUUGAGAGUUUUUGUACAAAUUUUCUUUCCUUGCUAGUUCUUAGGAAUUCAAAGCAAAUGUUACCAGUAAGUAGCCUCUACCAUUGUCAUGCAAAGAAUUAU